CAAGCAAUACCUCUUGCCUUAGCCUCUCAAAGUAUUAGGGGAUUACAGGUGUGAGUGACCCAGCCGAGCCUGAGUAUUUUUUCAAAUUGUGAGUGGAUUUUGAAUUUUUGUCAAAUAGUUUUUCAAUCAAUAUGAUCAUUUGCUUUUUUUUUUUUUUUUUUUUUUUUUUUAGAAGGUGCUUGGGCCCCUUGUAGAUCAGAGGCACCCUACCCCUGGCUGCCAGCUUGGACCCUUACAUAAGAGACAAAUAAAUAUCUAUGGUAUUUAAAUUACUAUUAUUUGGUCUCUAUUAAGGCAGGCGCACCAACAUUUUAACUAAUAUGUUCACUUAUUGACGGAUCGAUUCAAUAACCUGGCAGUCACCUCGUGCCAGCAUCACAUAAGAUACCAGGAGCCACAGAGACACAAGCCCACAAGGGCCUGUGAAUCAGGUAGAGCUUUGUCCCUCUGACAGAUGAGGAAACUGAGGCAGGAAACAGUGCAGUGCGGGAAAACACAAGGUAAGCUGGUGGCUGAGCCUUGGUCCGAUACCAGGCCGAGGGAGAGCGUCGGAGCGCGGCCCCGACGGCAGCCGCAGCCUCACGCCGUGGAGGGUCGAGGCUCGGAAUGACUCACGCCCAAUGUCGCCUUCCCAGAUGGUGUAGGUGCUCAGGCCAUGGACUGCCCUGGCCACAGUGCUUUGGCCCUGCUCGUCCGCCUGGGGGCGCUAGUCGACGCCUACCCCAUCAAACCCGAGACUCCCGGCCAAGACGCCUCCCGGGAGAAGCUGAGCCGCUACUACGCCUCCCUGCGCCACUAGCUCAACCUGGUCACCCGGCCGCGGUAGGUGAAACGAGACAGCCCGGACGCGCGCCUCUACAAAACGUUCUACCGCGACGGCGAGGACCACCCCGGCAGGUCUAGGUGAAAGCGCCCCCGUCACCACACCUGCUGCCUCCGAGAGCGCGGCCUCGCCCCACCCCACUCUAGUCCGUCACUUACGACGUCUCCCAGGCUUGCCUCCCCAGAUCCCAUUCCUUUCCCUUCGCUCCUGGCGCCGACCUGUGGCGAGGACCCCCGAGGCCUCCUGGGAGAUCUUCCAACCACGCCCGUCUCAUUUGCAUACGCCCUCCCGAACCCAGAAACCUGGAUUCCGCCUCCUGGCAGCGGCGUCUGAGCAGGGUGCGGGUGCAGGCUUUCAGCGUCUCGGUGCCCCAACCUCUGAGCUGCAGGCCUGUGUGGGGUCCUUCCCUGGUCCCAAAAUAAAGAGCGAAUUCCACA